UACAGAGGGUGCAAGCGUUGUUCGGAAUCAUUGGGCGUAAAGGGCGCGUAGGCGGUGAAGUAAGUCAACUGUGAAAGCCCAGGGCUCAACCUUGGAAGUGCAGCUGAAACUACUUCACUCGAAUCUCGGAGAGGGUGGUGGAAUUCCCAGUGUAGAGGUGAAAUUCGUAGAUAUUGGGAGGAACACCGGUGGCGAAGGCGACCGCCUGGACGAAGAUUGACGCUGAGGCGCGAGAGCGUGGGGAGCAAGGCAGG
rnacentral:rRNA from 1 species